CAGCAGCCGCGGGAAUACGUAGGGUGCGAGCGUUAAUCGGAAUUACUGGGCGUAAAGCGUGCGCAGGCGGUUGUGUAAGACAGGUGUGAAAUCCCCGGGCUUAACCUGGGAACUGCGCUUGUGACUGCACAGCUAGAGUAUGGCAGAGGGGGGUGGAAUUCCACGUGUAGCAGUGAAAUGCGUAGAGAUGUGGAGGAACACCGAUGGCGAAGGCAGCCCCCUGGGCCAAUACUGACGCUCAUGCACGAAAACGUGGGGAGCAAACAGGAUUAGAUACCCGGGUAGUCCCUGUCUCUUAUAA
rnacentral:rRNA from 1 species